rnacentral:rRNA from 1 species
CACUCCUACGGGAGGCAGCAGUGGGGAAUUUUGGACAAUGGGGGCAACCCUGAUCCAGCAAUGCCGCGUGAGUGAAGAAGGCCUUCGGGUUGUAAAGCUCUUUUGUCAGGGAAGAAACGGUGGUGGCGAAUAACUACUACUAAUGACGGUACCUGAAGAAUAAGCACCGGCUAACUACGUGCCAGCAGCCGCGGUAAUACGUAGGGUGCAAGCGUUAAUCGGAAUUACUGGGCGUAAAGCGUGCGCAGGCGGUUGUGUAAGUCAGAUGUGAAAUCCCCGGGCUCAACCUGGGAAUUGCAUUUGAGACUGCACGGCUAGAGUGUGUCAGAGGGGGGUAGAAUUCCACGUGUAGCAGUGAAAUGCGUAGAUAUGUGGAGGAAUACCGAUGGCGAAGGCAGCCCCCUGGGAUAACACUGACGCUCAUGCACGAAAGCGUGGGGAGCAAACAGGAUUAGAAACCCGUGUAGUCC